CAGCUGCAGGGGGGAUGAGAUUCUGAUUAUGCACUAUAUUGUUUCUCUGUUUCCAUAUGUGGUAGAUCACUGCCUGAGUCACUAUCUUCCUUAGCAGAGAGAGCCUCCUUGACGUUGCAUCUCUGAUCCAAGAUAAGAGCUCGGACUAGUUGGUAAAAGCUCCUACCGGCGGUUGACAUCUACUGAAGACCUCCCGCCAAAUAACAAGACUGUACUCACAGGAGAGAAGAAGAUGAUCCCUUGUUUCAUCAU
rnacentral:lncRNA from 1 species